rnacentral:rRNA from 1 species
GACGAACGCUGGCGUGCGUGCUUAACACAUGCAAGUCGAACGGAAAGGCCCUGCUUUUGUGGGGUGCUCGAGUGGCGAACGGGUGAGUAACACGUGAGUAACCUGCCCUUGACUUUGGGAUAACUUCAGGAAACUGGGGCUAAUACCGGAUAGGAGCUCCUGCUGCAUGGUGGGGGUUGGAGAGUUUCGGCGGUUGGGGAUGGACUCGCGGCUUAUCAGCUUGUUGGUGGGGUAGUGGCUUACCAAGGCUUUGACGGGUAGCCGGCCUGAGAGGGUGACCGGCCACAUUGGGACUGAGAUACGGCCCAGACUCCUACGGGAGGCAGCAGUGGGGAAUAUUGCACAAUGGGCGGAAGCCUGAUGCAGCAACGCCGCGUGCGGGAUGACGGCCUUCGGGUUGUAAACCGCUUUCGCCUGUGACGAAGCGUGAGUGACGGUAAUGGGUAAAGAAGCACCGGCUAACUACGUGCCAGCAGCCGCGGUGAUACGUAGGGUGCGAGCGUUGUCCGGAUUUAUUGGGCGUAAAGGGCUCGUAGGUGGUUGAUCGCGUCGGAAGUGUAAUCUUGGGGCUUAACCCUGAGCGUGCUUUCGAUACGGGUUGACUUGAGGAAGGUAGGGGAGAAUGGAAUUCCUGGUGGAGCGGUGGAAUGCGCAGAUAUCAGGAGGAACACCAGUGGCGAAGGCGGUUCUCUGGGCCUUUCCUGACGCUGAGGAGCGAAAGCGUGGGGAGCGAACAGGCUUAGAUACCCUGGUAGUCCACGCUGUAAACGGUGGGUACUAGGUGUGGGGUCCAUUCCACGGGUUCCGUGCCGUAGCUAACGCUUUAAGUACCCCGCCUGGGGAGUACGGCCGCAAGGCUAAAACUCAAAGGAAUUGACGGGGCCCCGCACAAGCGGCGGAGCAUGCGGAUUAAUUCGAUGCAACGCGUAGAACCUUACCUGGGUUUGACAUGGAUCGGGAGUGCUCAGAGAUGGGUGUGCCUCUUUUGGGGUCGGUUCACAGGUGGUGCAUGGCUGUCGUCAGCUCGUGUCGUGAGAUGUUGGGUUAAGUCCCGCAACGAGCGCAACCCUUGUUCACUGUUGCCAGCACGUUAUGGUGGGGACUCAGUGGAGACCGCCGGGGUCAACUCGGAGGAAGGUGGGGAUGACGUCAAGUCAUCAUGCCCCUUAUGUCCAGGGCUUCACGCAUGCUACAAUGGCUGGUACAGAGAGUGGCGAGCCUGUGAGGGUGAGCGAAUCUCGGAAAGCCGGUCUCAGUUCGGAUUGGGGUCUGCAACUCGACCUCAUGAAGUCGGAGUCGCUAGUAAUCGCAGAUCAGCAACGCUGCGGUGAAUACGUUCCCGGGGCU